UACUUUAUAGCUCAGUCAGUAGAGCAUGAGACUCUUCAUCCCAGGGUCAUGGGUCUGAACCCCAGUUGGGGGAA